rnacentral:rRNA from 1 species
GAAACAGCUGCUAAGACUGGAUAGGAAAUAAAAAGGCAUCUUUUUAUUUUUAAAAGACCUUUUUCGGAAGGUAUGCUUAAAGAGGGGCUUGCGUCACAUUAGUUAGUUGGCAGGGUAAAGGCCUACCAAGACUAUGAUGUGUAGCUGGACUGAGAGGUUGAACAGCCACAUUGGGACUGAGACACGGCCCAAACUCCUACGGGAGGCAGCAGUAGGGAAUUUUCGGCAAUGGAGGAAACUCUGACCGAGCAACGCCGCGUGAACGAUGAAGUAUUUCGGUAUGUAAAGUUCUUUUAUUGAAGAAGAAAAAAUAGUGGAAAAACUAUCUUGACGAUAUUCAAUGAAUAAGCCCCGGCAAACUAUGUGCCAGCAGCCGCGGUAAUACAUAGGGGGCGAGCGUUAUCCGGAAUUAUUGGGCGUAAAGGGUGCGUAGGCGGUUUAAUAAGUCUAUAGUUUAAUUUCAGUGCUUAACACUGUCCUGCUAUAGAAACUAUUAGACUAGAGUGAGAUAGAGGCAAGUGGAAUUCCAUGUGUAGCGGUAAAAUGCGUAAAUAUAUGGAGGAACACCAGAGGCGUAGGCGGCUUGCUGGGUCUUUACUGACGCUGAGGCACGAAAGCGUGGGGAGCAAACAGGAUUAGAUACCCUGGUAGUCCACGCCGUAAACGAUGAGUACUAAGUGUCGGGAUUACUCGGUACUGAAGUUAACACAUUAAGUACUCCGCCUGAGUAGUACGUACGCAAGUAUGAAACUUAAAGGAAUUGACGGGACUCCGCACAAGCGGUGGAUCAUGUUGUUUAAUUCGAAGAUACACGAAAAACCUUACCAGGUCUUGACAUACUCUGCAAAGCUAUAGCAAUAUAGUGGAGGUUAUCAGGGAUACAGGUGGUGCAUGGUUGUCGUCAGCUCGUGUCGUGAGAUGUUAGGUUAAGUCCUAAAACGAGCGCAACCCUUGUCAUUAGUUGCCAGCAUGUCAUGAUGGGCACUUUAAUGAGACUGCCAAUGAAAAAUUGGAGGAAGGUGAGGAUCACGUCAAAUCAUCAUGCCCCUUAUGAUCUGGGCUACAAACGUGAUACAAUGGCUGUUACAAAGAGUAGCUGAAACGCAAGUUUAUAGCCAAUCUCAUAAAAGCAGUCUCAGUUCGGAUUGAAGUCUGCAACUCGACUUCAUGAAGUUGGAAUCGCUAGUAAUCGCGAAUCAGCAUGUCGCGGUGAAUACGUUCUCG